AUUGAACGCUGGCGGCAGGCCUAACACAUGCAAGUCGAGCGGAUGAAGGGAGCUUGCUCCUGGAUUCAGCGGCGGACGGGUGAGUAAUGCCUAGGAAUCUGCCUGGUAGUGGGGGAUAACGUCCGGAAACGGGCGCUAAUACCGCAUACGUCCUGAGGGAGAAAGUGGGGGAUCUUCGGACCUCACGCUAUCAGAUGAGCCUAGGUCGGUUUAGCUAGUUGGUGGGGUAAGGGCCUACCAAGGCGACGAUCCGUAACUGGUCUGAGAGGAUGAUCAGUCACACUGGAACUGAGGCACGGUCCAGACUCCUACGGGAGGCAGCAGUGGGGAAUAUUGGACAAUGGGCGAAAGCCUGAUCCAGCCAUGCCGCGUGUGUGAAGAAGGUCUUCGGAUUGUAAAGCACUUUAAGUUGGGAGGAAGGGCAGUAAGUUAAUACCUUGCUGUUUUGACGUUACCAACAGAAUAAGCACCGGCUAACUUCGUG
rnacentral:rRNA from 1 species